rnacentral:rRNA from 1 species
CCUACGGGGGGCUGCAGUGGGGAAUAUUGGACAAUGGGCGAAAGCCUGAUCCAGCCAUGCCGCGUGUGUGAAGAAGGCCUUCGGGUUGUAAAGCACUUUCAGUGGGGAAGAAAGCCUUGGGGCUAAUACCCUCGAGGAAGGACAUCACCCACAGAAGAAGCACCGGCUAACUCCGUGCCAGCAGCCGCGGUAAUACGGAGGGUGCGAGCGUUAAUCGGAAUUACUGGGCGUAAAGCGCGCGUAGGCGGUCUGAUAAGCCGGUUGUGAAAGCCCCGGGCUCAACCUGGGAACGGCAUCCGGAACUGUCAGGCUAGAGUGCAGGAGAGGAAGGUAGAAUUCCCGGUGUAGCGGUGAAAUGCGUAGAGAUCGGGAGGAAUACCAGUGGCGAAGGCGACCUUCUGGACUGACACUGACGCUGAGGUGCGAAAGCGUGGGUAGCAAACAGGAUUAGAUACCCCAGUAGUC